GCCCGCGUGGCUCAAUCGGUAGAGCGUGAGACUCUUAAUCUCAAGGUUGCGGGUUCGACCCCCGCCGUGGGCU